rnacentral:rRNA from 1 species
GGGUUGUGAGGUUAAGCGACUAAGCGUACACGGUGGAUGCCCUGGCAGUCAGAGGCGAUGAAGGACGUGCUAAUCUGCGAUAAGCGUCGGUAAGGUGAUAUGAACCGUUAUAACCGGCGAUUUCCGAAUGGGGAAACCCAGUGUGAUUCGUCACACUAUCAUUAACUGAAUCCAUAGGUUAAUGAGGCGAACCGGGGGAACUGAAACAUCUAAGUACCCCGAGGAAAAGAAAUCAACCGAGAUUCCCCCAGUAGCGGCGAGCGAACGGGGAGCAGCCCAGAGCCUGAAUCAGUGUGUGUGUUAGUGGAAGCGUCUGGAAAGGCGCGCGAUACAGGGUGACAGCCCCGUACACAAAAAUGCACAUGCUGUGAGCUCGAUGAGUAGGGCGGGACACGUGGUAUCCUGUCUGAAUAUGGGGGGACCAUCCUCCAAGGCUAAAUACUCCUGACUGACCGAUAGUGAACCAGUACCGUGAGGGAAAGGCGAAAAGAACCCCGGCGAGGGGAGUGAAAAAGAACCUGAAACCGUGUACGUACAAGCAGUGGGAGCACGCUUAGGCGUGUGACUGCGUACCUUUUGUAUAAUGGGUCAGCGACUUAUAUUCUGUAGCAAGGUUAACCGAAUAGGGGAGCCGAAGGGAAACCGAGUCUUAACUGGGCGUUAAGUUGCAGGGUAUAGACCCGAAACCCGGUGAUCUAGCCAUGGGCAGGUUGAAGGUUGGGUAACACUAACUGGAGGACCGAACCGACUAAUGUUGAAAAAUUAGCGGAUGACUUGUGGCUGGGGGUGAAAGGCCAAUCAAACCGGGAGAUAGCUGGUUCUCCCCGAAAGCUAUUUAGGUAGCGCCUCGUGAAUUCAUCUCCGGGGGUAGAGCACUGUUUCGGCAAGGGGGUCAUCCCGACUUACCAACCCGAUGCAAACUGCGAAUACCGGAGAAUGUUAUCACGGGAGACACACGGCGGGUGCUAACGUCCGUCGUGAAGAGGGAAACAACCCAGACCGCCAGCUAAGGUCCCAAAGUCAUGGUUAAGUGGGAAACGAUGUGGGAAGGCCCAGACAGCCAGGAUGUUGGCUUAGAAGCAGCCAUCAUUUAAAGAAAGCGUAAUAGCUCACUGGUCGAGUCGGCCUGCGCGGAAGAUGUAACGGGGCUAAACCAUGCACCGAAGCUGCGGCAGCGACGCUUAUGCGUUGUUGGGUAGGGGAGCGUUCUGUAAGCCUGUGAAGGUGUACUGUGAGGUAUGCUGGAGGUAUCAGAAGUGCGAAUGCUGACAUAAGUAACGAUAAAGCGGGUGAAAAGCCCGCUCGCCGGAAGACCAAGGGUUCCUGUCCAACGUUAAUCGGGGCAGGGUGAGUCGACCCCUAAGGCGAGGCCGAAAGGCGUAGUCGAUGGGAAACAGGUUAAUAUUCCUGUACUUGGUGUUACUGCGAAGGGGGGACGGAGAAGGCUAUGUUGGCCGGGCGACGGUUGUCCCGGUUUAAGCGUGUAGGCUGGUUUUCCAGGCAAAUCCGGAAAAUCAAGGCUGAGGCGUGAUGACGAGGCACUACGGUGCUGAAGCAACAAAUGCCCUGCUUCCAGGAAAAGCCUCUAAGCAUCAGGUAACAUCAAAUCGUACCCCAAACCGACACAGGUGGUCAGGUAGAGAAUACCAAGGCGCUUGAGAGAACUCGGGUGAAGGAACUAGGCAAAAUGGUGCCGUAACUUCGGGAGAAGGCACGCUGAUAUGUAGGUGAAGCGACUUGCUCGUGGAGCUGAAAUCAGUCGAAGAUACCAGCUGGCUGCAACUGUUUAUUAAAAACACAGCACUGUGCAAACACGAAAGUGGACGUAUACGGUGUGACGCCUGCCCGGUGCCGGAAGGUUAAUUGAUGGGGUCAGCGCAAGCGAAGCUCUUGAUCGAAGCCCCGGUAAACGGCGGCCGUAACUAUAACGGUCCUAAGGUAGCGAAAUUCCUUGUCGGGUAAGUUCCGACCUGCACGAAUGGCGUAAUGAUGGCCAGGCUGUCUCCACCCGAGACUCAGUGAAAUUGAACUCGCUGUGAAGAUGCAGUGUACCCGCGGCAAGACGGAAAGACCCCGUGAACCUUUACUAUAGCUUGACACUGAACAUUGAGCCUUGAUGUGUAGGAUAGGUGGGAGGCUUUGAAGUGUGGACGCCAGUCUGCAUGGAGCCGACCUUGAAAUACCACCCUUUAAUGUUUGAUGUUCUAACGUUGACCCGUAAUCCGGGUUGCGGACAGUGUCUGGUGGGUAGUUUGACUGGGGCGGUCUCCUCCUAAAGAGUAACGGAGGAGCACGAAGGUUGGCUAAUCCUGGUCGGACAUCAGGAGGUUAGUGCAAUGGCAUAAGCCAGCUUGACUGCGAGCGUGACGGCGCGAGCAGGUGCGAAAGCAGGUCAUAGUGAUCCGGUGGUUCUGAAUGGAAGGGCCAUCGCUCAACGGAUAAAAGGUACUCCGGGGAUAACAGGCUGAUACCGCCCAAGAGUUCAUAUCGACGGCGGUGUUUGGCACCUCGAUGUCGGCUCAUCACAUCCUGGGGCUGAAGUAGGUCCCAAGGGUAUGGCUGUUCGCCAUUUAAAGUGGUACGCGAGCUGGGUUUAGAACGUCGUGAGACAGUUCGGUCCCUAUCUGCCGUGGGCGCUGGAGAACUGAGGGGGGCUGCUCCUAGUACGAGAGGACCGGAGUGGACGCAUCACUGGUGUUCGGGUUGUCAUGCCAAUGGCACUGCCCGGUAGCUAAAUGCGGAAGAGAUAAGUGCUGAAAGCAUCUAAGCACGAAACUUGCCCCGAGAUGAGUUCUCCCUGACUCCUUGAGAGUCCUGAAGGAACGUUGAAGACGACGACGUUGAUAGGCCGGGUGUGUAAGCGCAGCGAUGCGUUGAGCUAACCGGUACUAAUGAACCGUGAGGCUUAACCUUACAACGCCGAAGCUGUU